GGUAGCUGUGCAGAUUGUGAUAUUGUGGCCACUGAAUCCUCUCAUACUGAUGCAGUUCUAACUAUGCAAGGAGGGAUGGUUGCGACUGGUGAUGAGCUCGCAAGUUUCAUUCCAGCUUUAUGCAAUUACCAGUCACAAGUCCUAAAGGGAGAGUUGCAGUUGCUGCAUUGGAAAGCUGAGAAGAAUGCAGCAAUGAAGAUAAUGCACACCUGGGCAGAGCUUGGAAAAACACCAAUAAGAUCAUUCUUUCCCUUUCUAUUCUUUUGUAGUAAUAGGUUUUUGUGGAUAGCUUGCAUAGUAAUAGAUAGCAUAGUAAAUAAUAGGAUAGCACAUAUGCUCUUUUAUAUAAAAAUUAAAAAAAAUAAUUUUGAUCUAUGGCCUAUUUGAACAUGUUUUCUUUUUCUUUUAGUCUUAUAGUUUUAGUUUUAAUCUUUUCAGUUUUGUUCUGUACAUUUCCUGUUCAAACUGGUGUUUUCUAAAUUCAAUUUUUUUUUGUAUAAGUCUGCAUG
rnacentral:lncRNA from 1 species